GGUGCUGUGGCAUAGUAGGUAAAGCCACUGCCUGCGGUGCCAGUAUCCCAUAUGGGCACUGGUUCUAGUCCUGUCUGCUCCU
rnacentral:tRNA from 1 species